UACGAGGGGGGCAAGCGUUGUUCGGAAUUAUUGGGCGUAAAGGGCGCGUAGGCGGUGCGGUAAGUCACCUGUGAAACCUCUAGGCUUAACCUAGAGCCUGCAGGCGAAACUGCCGUGCUUGAGGGUGGGAGAGGUGCGUGGAAUUCACGGUGUAGCAGUGAAAUUCGUAGAUAUUCGCAAGAACACCAGUGGCGAAGGCGGCUCACUGGCCCGGUACUGACGCUGAGGUGCGAAAGCGUGGGGAGCAAACAGG
rnacentral:rRNA from 1 species